rnacentral:rRNA from 1 species
UACGGGGGGGGCAAGCGUUGUUCGGAAUUACUGGGCGUAAAGGGCGUGUAGGCGGCCAACUAAGUCCGACGUGAAAUCCCCAGGCUUAACCUGGGAACUGCGUCGGAUACUGGAUGGCUUGAAUCCGGGAGAGGGAUGCGGAAUUCCAGGUGUAGCGGUGAAAUGCGUAGAUAUCUGGAGGAACACCGGUGGCGAAGGCGGCAUCCUGGACCGGCAUUGACGCUGAUGAGCGAAAGCCAGGGGAGCAAACGGG